GCCAUAGUUCAGUGGUAGACCAUUUGUCUGGCACGCAGAAGACCUAGGUUCAAUUUCUGGUAUCUACA